rnacentral:tRNA from 1 species
AUUUUUAUAGUUUAAAUCAAAACAUUACAUUUUCAAUGUAAAAAUAGAAAUUUUCUUUAAAAU